CACAUUGAAACACCAGUUUCUGUAUGAUCACCGAAGUUAAGCAAUGUCGAGCCUGGUCAGUACCUAGAUGGGUGACCGCUUGGGAAUACCAAGUGCUGUA
rnacentral:rRNA from 1 species